rnacentral:rRNA from 1 species
UGGGGAAUAUUGCACAAUGGGCGCAAGCCUGAUGCAGCCAUGCCGCGUGUAUGAAGAAGGCCUUCGGGUUGUAAAGUACUUUCUGCGGGGAGGAAGGGAGUAAAGUUAAUACCUUUGCUCAUUGACGUUACCCGCAGAAGAAGCACCGGCUAACUCCGUGCCAGCAGCCGCGGUAAUACGGAGGGUGCAAGCGUUAAUCGGAAUUACUGGGCGUAAAGCGCACGCAGGCGGUUUGUUAAGUCAGAUGUGAAAUCCCCGGGCUCAACCUGGGAACUGCAUCUGAUACUGGCAAGCUUGAGUCUCGUAGAGGGGGGUAGAAUUCCAGGUGUAGCGGUGAAAUGCGUAGAGAUCUGGAGGAAUACCGGUGGCGAAGGCGGCCCCCUGGACGAAGACUGACGCUCAGGUGCGAAAGCGUGGGGAGCAAACA